UCUUCUAAGUAUUCGCUGUACAAACCAAACGAAACAGCGAUUUUAGCACGUGACUGACAUUUUCCAAGUUUGUUGUUAUAUUCGAGCGGACUUUUGCGUUCGCCAGCUGACAGCACGACGAAACUAUAAGCGCUCUAUCUCUUCGCUGAUCAUUUGCAAUUUUAUCUGUCUCGGAUAUCACGUAAAUGUACCGGGUGUCAUUCCAGUUUUAAUCGAUUUUUCUUUACUUUCUUUUUAACAGAAAUGAGGGACCAACACUCUAAAUUUCUAAAGGAUCAAAGAUCUCAACUAAACCUAAUUCACUCCUCCCGCUGCCCAGACAUAGAAUUUUGAAAUUAAAUACAAGGAACACUGAGAUAUUUUUUUAAGCGACCAGGUGAUUAAGCUUUCGUCAAGAACAGUUUCUCAAGAAUACACUUAUCACUAUCUAAAAGAUUCACAUAAUUUUUAUCAUAAUAAAAAUAAGCGACAAACUGAGGUCAUAGUAUCAACUGCAAUGCAGACGUCAGUGGGUAAACAACUAUAAUUGAUCGAUAUUGACAAGAAUCAGUCCUCUCCCCCCCCCGAGAUUCAGCCCUUAAUGAGCACUCGAGCUUUACCGAGAAGAAAAAAAAAAGAGAGACGUUACAGCAAAGCGCAAUUAGUGGAAGCAGCGGAUCAAUCAAUUUUGCAGUAAAACGCCGGAUGAUUCUGGCAAAUUCCCGAGGCGUCGAAGGGAGUUGAUAACAGAACUUGCGGACCUGCUACACGCGGGACAUAACGUACGUAUAUAAGUAUACGUGUGCGAUUACGCGUUUCUCUCGUCAGGUAAAAAUCAAUAACAC